GAUGAACGCUGGCGGCGUGCCUAAUACAUGCAAGUCGAGCGAACGGACGAGAAGCUUGCUUCUCUGAUGUUAGCGGCGGACGGGUGAGUAACACGUGGAUAACAUACCUAUAAGACUGGGAUAACUUCCGGAAACCGGAGCUAAUACCGGAUGAUAUUUUGAACCGCAUGGUUCAAAAGUGAAAGACGGUCUUGCUGUCACUUAUAGAUGGAUCCGCGCUGCAUUAGCUAGUUGGUAAGGUAACGGCUUACCAAGGCAACGAUGCAUAGCCGACCUGAGAGGGUGAUCGGCCACACUGGAACUGAGACACGGUCCAGACUCCUACGGGAGGCAGCAGUAGGGAAUCUUCCGCAAUGGGCGAAAGCCUGACGGAGCAACGCCGCGUGAGUGAUGAAGGUCUUCGGAUCGUAAAACUCUGUUAUUAGGGAAGAACAUAUGUGUAAGUAACUGUGCACAUCUUGACGGUACCUAAUCAGAAAGCCACGGCUAACUACGUG
rnacentral:rRNA from 1 species